GCCUCCGUAGCUCAGGGGAUAGAGCGUCUGCCUCCGGAGCAGAAGGCCGCAGGUUCGAAUCCUGCCGGGGGCAC
rnacentral:tRNA from 2 species